rnacentral:rRNA from 1 species
UACGGGGGGAGCAAGCGUUGUUCGGAUUUACUGGGCGUAAAGGGCGCGUAGGCGGUCAGCACAAGUCAGUUGUGAAAUCUCCGGGCUUAACUCGGAAAGGUCAACUGAUACUGUGCGACUAGAGUGCAGAAGGGGCAACUGGAAUUCUCGGUGUAGCGGUGAAAUGCGGAGAUAUCGAGAGGAACACCUGCGGCGAAGGCGGGUUGCUGGGCUGACACUGACGCUGAUGCGCGAAAGCCAGGGGAGCGAACGGG